CUGCCGGGUGCGCCAUUGGCCCGCGUGCCACCGGUGCCCCGCGCUUUGCCUCGCGUCGCCGAGAUUUCCCGGGGUACUGAUCCCGCCCGCUGACGCCUGCCAAGAUGGCGGCACCUGAGGAGGGGGACACCGAGGCUCCACCACCACCUCCUCCUCCCGCUGAGGACAAGCCUCCCGGGGAGGCGUCUACAGCCUGCGGGGCUCCCCUCAGCGUGGCGGCGGCGGAGGAGGAGGAGGAUGGCAGAGCCGCGGUGGGGCCUGCCAACCUCCCGCUUUCUGCGGAGGGCCCAGAGCUGCUGGCGACACCGGGGGAGCUGGCGCAGAGCUUGGCAGCCGUGGAAGCCGGAUCGGCGGCGGCCGGCACCGUUCUGUACGUGCAGGAGGACGGGAGCGUGGUGGAGGGUGAGAGGCUGAGCGCCGUGGAGGUGCGGCUGCUGCUGGAGCAGCUGCUGUCUGCUGCCGAGAGCCCGGGGCCGGGCACGUCGGAACCGCCGCCUCCUCGGCACGCCGCCACGCCGCUGGCCCCCGCGGAGGUCCAGCGGGUCAUCGAGCAGGUGAGCAAGGCCCAGGAGAAGCAGAAGCUGCCGCCAGCUGCUCCGCCGGAGCCCUGCCUGGGGCCGCCCCCGCCGCUGGCCAGCAUCAUGCACAACGCCGCCCAGCAGCUGCGGAGCGUUGCCCAGCAGAUCGCCAGGCAGCAGGGCGGUUCCGUGGCCGCCACUCGGCUCCUCCCGCAGAAGCAGCUGGAAGCUAUUCGUGUCCAAGUUCAAUCAGGACAGAUGAAGGAAACUGAAAGGCCAAUGCUAUCACUGGCAUCAGUCCAGCCCAAAACUGUAAGGCUGAGUCAAUCAGUUAGUAGGAAUUCUAACAUGCCAGGACUUGGUAUUAUUAAUCCCCAGAUAAUUAGGAUACAGCCUGUUACAGGAACUAAGCAGCAGCAGCUAUUCCUGCAUAGCUCUUCCAAGUCUCCAGUUCAGUUGCUUAUGCAGAAACCUUUACCAUCAAAUGGAUCAGUGUCUCUCAAAAAGAUUCGCACAUCUAAGAUGCUAAAUGGACAGAAAGCUGCAUGUGCCACAGGAUCGGCUGCAAGAUCUCCAAAUGUUAACCUGGUGUCAGGCAGUUCAGCAAACAGUCUGGUACCAUGUCUUGAAAAAACCCCAAAAGAUGACAAGUUAAAAAAAUCCUUCAAAGUGAAAACACGUUCCGGACGGAUUUCACGCCCCCCCAAAUACAAAGCUAAAGAUUAUAAAUUCAUUAAAAUGGAAGAUUUGGCUUAUGGUCAUCGAUCUGAUUCUGAUGACUACUCUGAGCUGAGUGUAGAAGAUGAUGAAGAAGGAAAGGUGAAGGGAAAAGAUGCAUUAUUCACGUCUUCAAAUUAUGAUCUGAACCCCAAAACGUUUCAAUGUCAGACUUGUGAAAAAUCCUAUCUAGGAAAAGGAGGAUUAACAAGACAUUAUAAACUUAACCCAGGCCAUAGACAGAUGGAGUCUUCACCUCAAAAAAUACCUUUAAAUAAGCCUAACGGAAGUAUAUUGGUGGACAAUGACUGUGGAAUAGGAGAGGAAAUGAUGAGUCCAGCACAUUUGGAUUCAGUUGCUGCCACUUUAAAUAAGGAAAAUGCACUAGCUACCAGUCUGGAAGGAGCUGUUGAUUCAAAAGCUGGAGAACAGACCUCGAAGUCUCCAGAAAGCAGACCCUUGUUGGCAGAACAACAAAAAGAAAGCAGUUCAGGACACCAGGAACCUGUAACACCAGAAGGACCUGGAAGACCCAGACGAUCAAGGAGACAUGGUCGACUACAGAAGGGUGGAAGGUCCAGGUGUUCUGGAAGGCUGAGCAGACGUGGUGAAUCCCCUUCAAAAUCACUUGGUAGUGUGUCAGCAGAACGCAAUGUAUACAGAAAAAGAAAAGCUAAGUUAAAAGAGUUAAUACAACAAUGCGAUAAUGAAGACUUAAUGGAGCUGGCUCUCCCACGUCUCACAAAAGUUGUUACAGUAUUUGAAUUUCUGUUGAUGAAGGUUGAAAAAGGGUAUCCAGGCAAAGCUUACUUCCCAGAUGUGUAUAAGGAAUUUGAAGACUUGCAUAAUAUGGUAAAGAAAAUGGCUUAUCGUCACCUCAGUAAUUCAAAUUUGCUGAGUUGCCAGCAGCCUGUUGAAAUAAGAGAUGCUAAGGUUGCUGAAUCCCUAGGAAUUACAGAAAUACUUGCUGGAGAAGGAAAGACACAAGGUGCAGACUCUUGUUCACAAACUAUAAUUAAAACUGUCAGUGCGCAAGUGCCUCUGGAGAUACUGGGACAAAAACGGUUAGCUGAGAGCUCAGGGGAGGAACUGUUGCCAUCAGCAAAAAGGACCAAGUUAGAAGAUGUAAUGGAGAAUGUGAAUAAUGAUAAUGCCAGUCAAGAUGAAGUGAAAGAAAAGAGUGAGAAUUUAUGUACACUGUCUGAAAAAGAUGGUUUUAAUCAAUUAAAUGGAGAAAUCCAGCUUUCAGAAGAUGGGCAUAUCACUUGCUGCACAACUGGAAGCACAUUACUGACAGCAGAGCAACAUAAUUCACUUGGUGAUUCAGGAAUUAGAAUCGAUGCUGGAAAUUCAGCUACCUUCUCCCAGUCUGUGGAAAUGAGGGCAGAGUAUUCCGAAUGUGUGGCGAUACAGGGACCAGAUUUGGCCAAUGACGAGUCUUUGCUACAUGAAGUUGUAUUACCAGCUGAAGCAGAUGGCUCGCCUGGAUUAGUCCAAGCACACUUUAUGAAUGAGGAUACAGCCAGUGGGCUCUCAGGUCCUCAGCUUUGUAGCACUUUGUCUGAGGAUGCAAUGGGCAGUGAGAGCCCUAACUUAGCAAUGAGUGAAGAAAAUGGACAUCAUCAGAAAUACCAGAAACUGCAAGAAGAAAACUGUAAUUUCGCAAUUAAAGAACAUUCUGAACGAUUCCAUAGUGAAAAUAUGACUGAUGAGAUGCAGGAACUUGAAAAAGCGUUGUCAACAAACAUUGUGCCAGUAAACCACACACACAGUGCUCAGACUGAGUUGAACCAGAGCCCUGCCCAGGAAGCCUUUGUGUCUGCUCAUGUGAACCAUGAAAACUCACUUAAAAAUGUGAAUGACCGUUCUUGUGGGACAGAGGAACAACAUGAGCUAGAGAAUAGAGUCACUGUGGAUGAAACUGUAGCCUUCGAGAUUACUGAUGAGAGCCCUGAUUUUUUGUCUCGGGGACAUGAACAGAUUUUUAUUCAGACUUCAGAUGGGCUUAUCAUGUCUCACCCAGAUACUGCUGUUCUGUCUCAGGCAGAAGACGUUGUUAUUGUAACUGAUUCCAAUGGUAUUACAAUGCACAUCCCCACGCCUGAGGGGAUGCCUUUGGAAACUGUGGAAACCCUAUUGGAAAUGGAAGCAGAUGACCGAAGUGAAGAUGAUGCAUCUUUUAUCACUUCUAAGCUUGGACCUUCCUAAGAACUCCACACUGCCUUGUAAUACUUAGUCAUAAUAAGAAGGAGAUGACAAUGGUCAGAGGACAUGAGCCUAUCCUUAAUCUGUGUCCAACAGCAGUCAAUGAGCAAAGGACUCUGUGAACGAGAAGAUGACUUCAUGAAGAGAGAACAACACAAUUCCUACCUGUGCAGAAAAUGAAAAUCUGCUUCAAUUCUGCCUUUCCUAUUGCUUUGCACAUGCUGAGAAAUACAAUACACCUACUCAUAUCUUAAAAGAAGAUUCCUCAAUUUAGCAUUGGGGUAAAACAUCAGACUGCCUAUGAACAAGCACGGCACAAACCCUAUUAAUACAUGCUUUCUUACUUUCCCAUGUCAAGAUGACUUAAAUUUGAUUUCA